GAAAUCUGGAGAAGGCAGAAUGUGACCGCCUUUUGUGGAAACCUAACGCGGGCCUUACUCUCACAUUCUGCUGGAACACUGAGCAAGAGAUCCCAUGUGACCCACCCUCCUGGGACCAGGACUUCCCCGCGAUGAUGGACCAUGGUGUCACAUAUGCGACACUACACUGAAAUAGCCUACAGGAAAGAGUCAUGUUCUGGUGACCAUCCUGAAGAACACCGGGUGUCGGUGACAUCGCUCUGCAAAGGCGCUGUGGUCAGCUCAGCACCAGCAUUGUCAGCAAACCACACACUUGAACCACAUUCAUGUACUUCUGAAGGACCAUCUGCUCUGAAUGGAAGCUAGCGUGUGUUGUGAACGUCCUUAGAUGUAGAGACCCCCGCCUUAAGUUAUUGAUCCUCCGGUGAGCAGUAAGCAGUACAUGGAGGCUUCAUUCAUGGAAAUCUCUGAAAAUAUAAGCAGAGCGGGACACUGGGAGACCAUCUUCUCACCAUCCACA